rnacentral:lncRNA from 1 species
CUGCAGGUUCAGUGGAGCUGAAGUCGGAAGAAGAAAUCUUGCUCCUGUGUGGUCAUCAAUGAAGAGAAAGCAUAGGGGAAAGAAGUUUGAGAAGAACCAUUCAGAGAACUGUGAUUUCUUUUUGAGGCAGAUCUGAUGUGCCUGGUUUGAAGAAACCAAUUCAUUUCUUGAUGGGAAGAAAAAUCUUGUUUAUUUUUUCACUUAUUUUUUUAUGUAUGGGAUUUUCACUAACUUUGGACCAGAUACUUGCCAGGAAGAAUGUAAG